UGGGGAUGACGUCAAGUCAUCAUGGCCCUUACGACCAGGGCUACACACGUGCUACAAUGGCGCAUACAAAGAGAAGCGACCUCGCGAGAGCAAGCGGACCUCAUAAAGUGCGUCGUAGUCCGGAUUGGAGUCUGCAACUCGACUCCAUGAAGUCGGAAUCGCUAGUAAUCGUGGAUCAGAAUGCCACGGUGAAUACGUUCCCGGGCCUUGUACACACCGCCCGUCACACCAUGGGAGUGGGUUGCAAAAGAAGUAGGUAGCUUAACCUUCGGGAGGGCGCUUACCACUUUGUGAUUCAUGACUGGGGUGAAGUCGUAACAAGGUAACCGUAGGGGAACCUGCGGUUGGA
rnacentral:rRNA from 3 species